rnacentral:snRNA from 1 species
CUGCUUGCUUUGGCAGCACAGACACUAAAAUUGGAAUGAUACAGAGAAGAUUAGCAUAGUCUCUGUACAAGAAUGACAUACAAAUUUGUGAAGCAUUCCAUAUUUUU